rnacentral:rRNA from 1 species
UACGGAGGGGGCUAGCGUUGUUCGGAAUUACUGGGCGUAAAGCGCGCGUAGGCGGCUUUGUAAGUUAGAGGUGAAAGCCCGAAGCUCAACUUCGGAAUUGCCUUUAAGACUGCAUCGCUAGAAUCAUGGAGAGGUGAGUGGAAUUCCGAGUGUAGAGGUGAAAUUCGUAGAUAUUCGGAGGAACACCAGUGGCGAAGGCGACUCACUGGACAUGUAUUGACGCUGAGGUGCGAAAGCGUGGGGAGCAAACAGG